GUUUCAUGUUUUUUUUGGGGUUUCUUGUUCUUUUGGUUGAUUUGUCACAAAUUUUUCGGAGGACUGAUUCUUGAUUUUUUGGCUUCUCUUAUGGAAUUCUGGAAGUGGGUCUUUGAUAGUUUCUGAUAAGUUUGUCAUGGUCGGUGAAUGCGAUUCAGUUCUUGAACGUGGAGCUUCAGUUUAAGUGGGAAUUUUGGCUUCUCGGGGCAUGUAACGACUGUUAAAUUUCGUGACUUUCCUCUUUGUUUCGUUUUCUUUUGCAGUAUCUAGGCUUGUAUUUGAACGGGAGGAAUUUCUUGUAGAAAUGCUUUUGUGGGUUCUGCGUGUUUGUGAGAAAGAUCGGAACUUGACUACGAUGUUGCUUUCAUAUAAUUAGCUGAGAGUCCAUUGAUCCGAACAUGGUGGAUAGUUUCCUUCUUUUUGAUAGAUUUGAGUUAGAUGUGGCAGUUGAAAUCUCGGUAACUCUGUUGAGUGUGCUCUCUUCAAAACCUGGUUGUUCUUACGUUGCUAAUGCUUCCUCAAUUCUGCAUUCCCCGUUCCUGAGGGUUUGGUGUCACGUUCUAACUUCAAGUUCCAAUUGAGAGAGAGAGAGAGAGAGAGAGAGAGAGAUUUGUCUUGUAGCUUGAAUCCUGCUUCCUUUUGUUUUUCGCUUCGUUUUUCAUGAUCUGCUAGGCAUUGUCGGCAUUGUCUGCGUUUGAGCUUUGAAAGAAUGUGAGGAAUCGUCCUGUUUGAGUACACUAAUAAUUCAACUUUUGAGAGUGCUUUGGAGAAUCUGUUGCCACAUGACUCCAUAUGUAUGGUCUCGUACAUGGUAUCUCCCUAGAUUUUCCUGGCACAGAAACCAGCUUCAAGAUCCUUCUGUCAGCUAAUCUUUAAUUGUUCUCCAAAAGAAGGGUAAAUAUCGUACUGUAAUUAAAAUUGCCUGAAAAACUGACAAAGUGUGCAUUCAUUAA